rnacentral:lncRNA from 1 species
CAAUUUUAUAACGGCAAUUGUUGAACGACCAUUAUUAUUCAUUAUUAUCUUAUAUUUAGCGGCAAUUAUUUUAAACUAUAUUUUUUAUCGACUAAUAAUUUUAUAUUAAAUAUAUUUAUUUCGAAUUCUAACAUAAUUAACCCCUAACCCUAAACCUAACCCCUAACCCUAACCAAACCCGCUCCAUUCCACCACACCCCUACCCAGCGAAUGCCUCAACCUUGCGAGGAUCCCACCCUCAACCCCUUCUCUCCUCACGAUCCCUCCCCUCUCCUACCCCCUCUGAGCUAGAGCUCUCCCUUUCUCCUUCACCUCUGCUCAUUCCCCUCUCCCUCUCUCCUUCACCUCUACUCAUUCCCCUCUCCCUUGUCCUCUGAAUCUUCUCCAAGCUUCGAUCCCAUCCCCAAAUCACCCUCGU